AUUGAACGCUGGCGGCAGGCCUAACACAUGCAAGUCGAACGAGUGGCGGACGGGUGAGUAAUGUCUGGGAAACUGCCUGAUGGAGGGGGAUAACUACUGGAAACGGUAGCUAAUACAGCAUACCAUCAGAUGUGCCCAGAUGGGAUUAGCUUGUUGGUGGGGUAACGGCUCACCAAGGCUUCGCUCCCUAGCUGGGCUGAGAGGUUGACCAGCCACACUGGGACGGAGACACGGUCCAGAUUCCUACGGGAGGCAUCAGUGGGGAAUAUUGCACAAUGGGCGAAAGCCUGAUUCAGCCAGGCCGCGUGUAUGAAGAAGGCCUUCGGGUUGUAAAGUACUUUUAUCGGUGAGGCGUUACCCGCAGAAGAAGCACCGGCUAACUCCGUGCCAGCAGCCGCGGUAAUUC
rnacentral:rRNA from 1 species